UACGAAGGGGGCUAGCGUUGCUCGGAAUUACUGGGCGUAAAGGGCGCGUAGGCGGACCUGUUAGUCAGGCGGGAAAGUCCUGGGCUCAACCUGGGAACUGCGCUUGAUACGGCAGAGCUAGAGGAUGGAAGAGGCUCGCGGAAUUCCCAGUGUAGAGGUGAAAUUCGUAGAUAUUGGGAAGAACACCGGUGGCGAAGGCGGCGAGCUGGUCCAUUACUGACGCUGAGGCGCGACAGCGUGGGGAGCAAACAGG
rnacentral:rRNA from 1 species